GCCCUCGUAGCUCAGUUGGAUAGAGCGGCUGAUUCCUAAUCAGUAGGCCGGAGGUUCGAAUCCUCUCGAGGGUA
rnacentral:tRNA from 1 species